GCUGGCGACAAUAGCAAGAGUGAACCACCUGAUCCUUCCCCGAACUCAGAAGUGAAACCUCUUCGCGCUGAUGGUAGUGUGGCGUUAGCCAUGUGAGUAAGUCAUCGCCAGCU
rnacentral:rRNA from 1 species